UGAAGGACUGCUCAAUGAGCUGUCUGCUCAGUUAAUUUGGGGAUCUAGCUAUAGACGUGGCGCAUUGAUGGGAAGAACGCGUUCACUGCUGUCUGUUUUUACUCAUUCAGCUUCCAACUAAAUCUGAGUCUACGAGUCAUGUACAGUGGAUGACCAGGCUCUGAAGUGUUUGCUGUUCAACCCUCUUUUGUGUUCAAGUUCCCCAUCCUGCCUUCCUCUCCAGCGGCUCUUAAGCCCACCUGAGGAGUUCCGCUACAGGCCAGCUGAAGUUGGUUGGGGCAGUGCUGUUGGGCGUCAUGGUCCAGAGGCCUGGAGAUGGCGGCUCCCAGCUGACAAUGACCCGGGCUCUGCUGGCCAUUUUGUUUGUGCUGCUCGCGUCCGGCGGCAAGCCUGUGGCAGGCGAUGGCG